rnacentral:misc_RNA from 1 species
GCAAACUUGGUCAUUUAGAGGAAGUAAAAGUCGUAACAAGGUUUCCUUCCCGUUACCUGCAGAAGCCUUAGCCGCCACUAGUUGGCAGGCCCGCGACUGAAAAUAAAGGGCUGAAGAGCUAGCUCUCCGGAGCGAUGUCACUAAAUUGCGGGGACGCUCGCCAAACCACGGGUGCCUGCCGGUCCAGCGAUGGUACCGGAAAUAUGGGUACUUUUGUACCUGUAGCACGGUUACAGCCCGGUGGUUUGGGCGUUCCGUAGGUGAACCUGCGGAAGGAUCAUUAAAGAGUAUCGGAGCUCUCGGGCUCCUACUCCCACCCUAUGUUGACUUUAAAUGUUGCUUUGGCGGACCGGCAAUCUUGCCACCGGCCUAGGCUGGAUAGCGUCCGCCAGAGGAUUUUUAAAUUCCUUUGACUGUGAAUUCCGAGUCUUUGAAAAUUGAAUCAAAACUUUCAACAACGGAUCUCUUGGUUCUGGCAUCGAUGAAGAACGCAGC